UACGUAGGGUGCAAGCGUUGUCCGGAAUUAUUGGGCGUAAAGAGCUCGUAGGCGGUUCGUCACGUCGGCUGUGAAAUCCCGAGGCUCAACCUCGGGUCUGCAGUCGAUACGGGCGGACUGGAGUACUGCAGGGGAGACUGGAAUUCCUGGUGUAGCGGUGAAAUGCGCAGAUAUCAGGAGGAACACCAAUGGCGAAGGCAGCACUCUGGGACGUGACUGACGCUGAGACGCGAAAGCGUGGGGAGCAAACAGG
rnacentral:rRNA from 1 species